GUAUAAUGAUGAUAUUCAUGCGUGUCAACUGACUCCGGAACCCCCUGAGUGUUCUGGGCUCCCGGUCAGCGUUCUGUUGGCCGGUGUGUUCCGGAACACCAGGGACCCGGAACCCAUGAUCAGAUUCCAAUCUGGCUGAAUAC